GAACUAAAAGGGCCCUCAGAGAGAAUCUCGCCUGAUCCAUUCAUUUUGAAUAAUACAAACUGACUUUCUUCAUUCUGGACGACUUUUUCCAAGGGGCAACGAGCCCAACUAGCAACAUUCAAUAUCUGGGCUUCACCUUGACCCAGAAAAUGCAAAUCAAACUAUGCUGAAAGCUUCAUACAAAGGAACUGAAAGAUUGAUUCCUACAAGGUACAGCAUGGAAUGUUAUAAUUUCAUACCAGGGUAGAGUUGAACAGUUCUCCCUUCCAGCCAAGGGCAGAAAUGAGGAACCUGCCAGAUCGGAGAGUUCCCAAAUCUAAUCACCAUUUAUGCUAGAAUUCCUUCAGCUGCAAAUAAUGCAGGGUCUCAUCUUAGCAGUGACAAGAUAUCUGCCAGCAGCACCAGGCCUACAUCUUCCCAGCUUUAAAUUCAGUGAAAAGACAGGAUCUCUUUCUAAAGCACUGCA
rnacentral:lncRNA from 1 species